CCGACCUUAGCUCAGUUGGAAGAGCACAAGACUGUAAUAGGUUUCCAGGAUUAUCUUGGGGUCGCCUGUUCGAACCAGGCAGGUCGGA
rnacentral:tRNA from 1 species